rnacentral:rRNA from 1 species
GGGUCAGUAGGUUGGUCGUGCCACCGGUACGUACUGGUCUCACUGAUCCCUCCUUCCUGAAGAACCGUAAUGCCAUUAAUUUGGUGUUGCGGGGAAACAGGACUGUUACUUUGGAAAAAUUAGAGUGUUUAAAGCAAGCUAACGCUUGAAUACAUUAGCAUGGAAUAAUGAAAUAGGACGAUCGAUCCUAUUUUGUUGGUUUCUAGGAUUGACGUA